UACGGAGGGAGCUAGCGUUGUUCGGAAUUACUGGGCGUAAAGCGCACGUAGGCGGCUUUGUAAGUUAGAGGUGAAAGCCCGGGGCUCAACUCCGGAACUGCCUUUAAGACUGCAUCGCUUGAAUCCAGGAGAGGUGAGUGGAAUUCCGAGUGUAGAGGUGAAAAUUCGUAGAUAUUCGGAAGAACACCAGUGGCGAAGGCGGCUCACUGGAGCUGGUAUUGACGCUGAGGUGCGAAAGCGUGGGGAGCAAACAGG
rnacentral:rRNA from 1 species